rnacentral:misc_RNA from 1 species
GAUGAAGAACGCAGCGAAAUGCGAUAAGUAAUGUGAAUUGCAGAAUUCAGUGAAUCAUCGAAUCUUUGAACGCACAUUGCGCCCUCUGGUAUUCCGGGGGGCAUGCCUGUUCGAGCGUCGUUACAACCCUCAAGCUCUGCUUGGUAUUGGGCUCUGCCGGUCCUGGCAGGCCUCAAAGUCAGUGGCGGUGCCAUCCGGCUCCAAGCGUAGUAAUUCUCCUCGCUUCGGAGGCCGCGGUGCGUGCUAGCCAGCAACCCCCAAUUUUUUUCAGGUUGACCUCGGAUCAGGUAGGGAUACCCGCUGAACUUAAGCAUAUCAAUAAGCGGAGGA